rfam:Enterococcus thailandicus strain F0711D 46 Ent-16_S35_L001_001_1, whole genome shotgun sequence.
CCACAGCUACAACCGCACAGAAUAAGUAGUAAGCACAGCCUGGCUGUCACUUAGGAUGGCGAGUCUAAGUAUAAAA